GAGCCGCUUGAAAGGCCGUGGCUCGGGCGACGACGACACCGACGAUGACCAUGUCGCCGCCCACGAGUCACAGCUACUGUCGUAGCUGAAGCAGGAAUUCAGCACUCCAUUUGGGCUUGGAGGAGAUGAAUGGUGGUCAUGAGAGGGGAAUUGCUUCCGCUUAUUGCCAGUAGUACUCAUACCUCGAGUUUCCAUGAUGAGCUGAUAGCAACCUUCGACUGUUUCCUUGGUGACACCAAGAAGUGCCAGAACAUCGACGGACUCCAACAUCCCUUCUAAUACGUGCAAGAGGACACUAGCCGCCCAUACUGAUGCUGGAUACAUGAUCCAUCUCCAAUCGGCUACAACAGACAACAGGAUUGCAUUGCUGGUUUUC
rnacentral:misc_RNA from 1 species